rnacentral:rRNA from 1 species
GUUGGUGAGGUAAUGGCUCACCAAGACGACGACGGGUAGCCGGCCUGAGAGGGCGACCGGCCACACUGGGACUGAGACACGGCCCAGACUCCUACGGGAGGCAGCAGUGGGGAAUAUUGCACAAUGGGGGAAACCCUGAUGCAGCGACGCAGCGUGCGGGAUGACGGCCUUCGGGUUGUAAACCGCUUUCAGCAGGGAAGAAAAGACCGUUCGAAUAGUGACGGUACCUUGACGGUACCUGACCAGAAAGUACCGGCUAACUACGUGCCAGCAGCCGCGGUAAUACGUAGGGUACGAGCGUUGUCCGGAAUUAUUGGGCGUAAAGAGCUCGUAGGUGGUUGGUCACGUCUGCUGUGGAAACGCAACGCUUAACCGUUGCGCGUGCAGUGGGUACGGGCUGACUAGAGUGCAGUAGGGGAGUCUGGAAUUCCUGGUGUAGCGGUGAAAUGCGCAGAUAUCAGGAGGAACACCGGUGGCGAAGGCGGGACUCUGGGCUGUAACUGACACUGAGGAGCGAAAGCAUGGGGGAGCGAACAGGAUUAGAUACCCUGGUAGUCCAUGCCGUAAACGUUGGGCACUAGGUGUGGGGGGCAUUCCACGUUCUCCGCGCCGUAGCUAACGCAUUAAGUGCCCCGCCUGGGGAGUACGGUCGCAAGGCUAAAACUCAAAGGAAUUUGACGGGGGCCCGCACAAGCGGCGGAGCAUGCGGAUUAAUUGCGAUGCAACGCGAAGAACCUUACCAAGGCUUGACAUACACCAGACCGUCCUGGAAACAGGUCCUCCCCUUCUGGGGUUGAGUGUACAGGUGGUGCAUGGUUGUCGUCAGCUCGUGUCGUGAGAUGUUGGGUUAAGUCCCGCAACGAGCGCAACCCUCGUUCUAUGUUGCCAGCACGUGAUG